rnacentral:rRNA from 1 species
UAAGCGUGAAGCCCCCCUCGAGAUGAGAUUUCCCAUUGCUUCGGCAAGUAAGACCCCUGAGAGAUGAUCAGGUAGAUAGGUUGGAAGUGGAAGUACAGCGAUGUAUGGAGCGGACCAAUACUAAUCGGUCGAGGACUUAACCAA